GAUGAACGCUGGCGGCGUGCCUAAUACAUGCAAGUCGAGCGAACAGACGAGGAGCUUGCUCCUCUGACGUUAGCGGCGGACGGGUGAGUAACACGUGGAUAACCUACCUAUAAUACUGGUAUAACUUCGGGACACCGGAGCUAAUACCGGAUAAUAUAUUGAACCGCAUGGUUCAAUAGUGAAAGUCGGUUUUUCUGUCACUUCUCGAUGGAUCCGCGCCGCAUUAGCUAGUUGUUAGGGUAACGGCUUACCACGGCUACGAUGCGUAGCCGACGUGAGAGGGGGAUAGGCCACACUGGAGCUGAGACAGGGACAAGACGACUAAGGGAGGCAGCAGAAGGGUAUGUUACGCAGUGGGCGAAAGCUUGACGGAGCAAGGGCGCGUGAGAGAUGGAGGUGUUCGGAGCGUAAAAAUCUGUUAUUAGGGAAGAACAGAUGUGGAAGUAGCUAUGCACGGCUUGACGGUACCUAGUAAGAAAGCCACGGCUAACUACGUG
rnacentral:rRNA from 1 species